rnacentral:rRNA from 1 species
UUGCACGCUGGCGGCAGGCCUAACACCUGCAAGUCGAGCGGAUGAAGGGAGCUUGCUCCUGGAUUCAGCGGCGGACGGGUGAGUAAUGCCUAGGAAUCUGCCUGGUAGUGGGGGAUAACGUCCGGAAACGGGCGCUAAUACCGCAUACGUCCUGAGGGAGAAAGUGGGGGAUCUUCGGACCUCACGCUAUCAGAUGAGCCUAGGUCGGAUUAGCUAGUUGGUGGGGUAAAGGCCUACCAAGGCGACGAUCCGUAACUGGUCUGAGGGGAUGAUCAGUCACACUGGAACUGAGACACGGUCCAGACUCCUACGGGAGGCAGCAGUGGGGAAUAUUGGACAAUGGGCGAAAGCCUGAUCCAGCCAUGCCGCGUGUGUGAAGAAGGUCUUCGGAUUGUAAAGCACUUUAAGUUGGGAGGAAGGGCAGUAAGUUAAUACCUUGCUGUUUUGACGUUACCAACAGAAUAAGCACCGGCUAACUUCGUG